rnacentral:rRNA from 1 species
AUACGGAGGGUGCAAGCGUUAAUCGGAAUUACUGGGCGUAAAGCGCGCGUAGGCGGUUAUUUAAGUCAGAUGUGAAAUCCCUGGGCUCAACCUAGGAACUGCAUCUGAUACUGGGUAACUAGAGUUUUGGAGAGGUAAGUGGAAUUUCCGGUGUAGCCGUGAAAUGCAUAGAGAUCGGAAGGAACACCAGUGGCGAAGGCGACUUACUGGCCAAAAACUGACGCUGAGGUGCGAAAGCGUGGGUAGCAAACAGGAUUAGAAACCCUUGUAGUCC